AGUAUGCUACCCAGCUGCCAGAGCGGCUCAAAUAUAAGCAGGCAGAAACAUAUGAAAAGAGAGACUGGCCUAGCCUCCCAGCCUACGUCUUUCUCCCAUGCUCAAUGCUUCCUGCCCUCGAACAUCGGACUCCAAGUUCUUCAGUUUUGGAACUCGGACUGGCUCUCCUUGCUCCUCAGCCUGUAGAUGGCCUAUUGUGGGACUUUGUGAUCAUAAUAAACUGCAGGAAUUGUUGGACAAUGGGUGCAUUUGGAAGAGCCACGCGGGAGCACUGAGAAGUGAAAUGAUCCAGCUCCAAAAAUAAAGGUGAUACACGUUAAAGUAAUAAAUUGGAAAAAAUAAAAUAGAUGCAACUCUUAGUUCGCAUAUCUGGAAAAGCUGGUUAUAUUGCAAAGACCUUAUUGAGAAUAUUUAUGUAUAUGUGCU
rnacentral:lncRNA from 1 species